ACAGCAACCAUGACUUUGGUCUCCAUCUUCAUCUGGACGCUCACCCUCUGGACUCAAGGAUCCAGUGGUCAGGUGACUGUGACUCAGACUCCAGCAGUGAAAACUGUUUCUCCAGGAGACUCAGUUACCAUCAGCUGUAGAACCAGCACUAGCGUUUAUGGUGGUAACUACUUAGCCUGGUAUCAGCAGAAACCUGGAGAAGCUCCUAAACUCCUGAUCUACUACGCUACCAGUAGACAGUCAGGUAUUCCAGAUCGUUUCAGUGGCAGUGGAUCUGGAUCUGACUUCACUCUGACCAUCAGUAAUGUCCAGACUGAAGAUGCAGGAGAUUAUUACUGUCAGAGUGCACAUUAUAUCAGUGACUACGUGUUCCCACAGUGUUUAUGCAGAACUUCCCAAGAGUCUAACUGGAUCUGA